CUGCCCGCCAGCGCGGCGCGCGAGGCCGCCGACGGCGGCCGGCAGGGCAAGCGCAGCGGCGGCCCCGCGAUCUUCGCGCGCGGGCUGC
rnacentral:tRNA from 1 species